rnacentral:misc_RNA from 1 species
UUGCGCGCCCCGGCUCCGGGAUGCGCCCGGCGGGCGAGGCGAGGGCGCGGGGCUCGUGCGCGUGCGCGCGCGCCCGGCUCUCGUCGGACCGGCCGGCGCGAUACAUAUUCGGGUACGACAGCCGGCGCUGGGCGGCCGCUCGUUGGCGCCGCGAGGCGCGGGCGGGGACGGGCGGCCCGGCGCGCGGGCGUCGUCGGAGGAAUAGCUACCUGGUUGAUC